rnacentral:rRNA from 1 species
GACGAACGCUGGCGGCGUGCUUAACACAUGCAAGUCGAGCGGUAAGGCCCUUUCGGGGGUACACGAGCGGCGAACGGGUGAGUAACACGUGGGUGACCUGCCCUCAGCUCUGGGAUAAGCCUGGGAAACCGGGUCUAAUACUGGAUAUGACUCCAUGACGCAUGUUGUGGGGUGGAAAGCCUUGUGCGGCUGAGGAUGGGCCCGCGGCCUAUCAGCUUGUUGGUGGGGUGANGGCCUACCAAGGCGACGACGGGUAGCCGGCCUGAGAGGGCGACCGGCCACACUGGGACUGAGACACGGCCCAGACUCCUACGGGAGGCAGCAGUGGGGAAUAUUGCGCAAUGGGCGAAAGCCUGACGCAGCGACGCCGCGUGGGUGAUGAAGGCCUCGGUC